UACGAAGGGGGCUAGCGUUGCUCGGAAUCACUGGGCGUAAAGGGUGCGUAGGCGGGUCUUUUAAGUCAGAGGUGAAAUCCUGGAGCUCAACUCCAGAACUGCCUUUGAUACUGAGGAUCUUGAGUUCGGGAGAGGUGAGUGGAACUGCGAGUGUAGAGGUGAAAUUCGUAGAUAUUCGGAAGAACACCGGUGGCGAAGGCGGCCCACUGGCUCGACACUGACGCUGAGGUGCGAAAGCGUGGGGAGCGAACAGGA
rnacentral:rRNA from 1 species